GACGAACGCUGGCGGCGUGCCUAAUACAUGCAAGUCGAACGCAGUGGGGACGGGUGAGUAACACGUGGGUAACCUCCCUUCAGAGGGGAGAACACUUGGAAACAGGUGCUAAACCGAUACUGAUGGAUGGACCCGCGGUGCAUUAGCUAGUGGGUGAGGUAACGGCUCACCAAGGCCACGAUGCAUACCCGGCCCGAGAGGGUGAUCGGCCACACUUGGACUGGGACACGGCCCAGACUCCUACGGGGGGCAGCAGUAGGGAAUCUUCGGCAAUGGAGGAAAGGCCUACCGAGGAACGGCGCGUGAGUGAAGAAGGUUUUCGGAUCGUAAAACUAUGUUGUGAGAGAAGCGGUAGCUAACCAGAAAGCCACUGCUAACUACGGGCCAGCAGCCGCGGUAAUAC
rnacentral:rRNA from 1 species